rnacentral:misc_RNA from 1 species
UACAAAGUGUAAGGGUCAUUUGGGUAAAUUUUAAUACCAUGAGGUUGUGUAUUUUCACCAAGACCAUAUAAUGAAGCAUCUUUAGGCAAUUUUGUUGAUAUUUCAAGAUAUUGAUCUUUAAAUACCAAAUUACUAUAUGGAUCAGAAUCUUCACUACUUGAAUUGAAAAUGGUUUGUCCAUUUGAUUUUCUUUUAACAGAAAAACUAAAAGGAUCACUUGUGUAACUGAACAUUAACUCAUUUCCUGAGUAUUUUUGAUUGGACAAAAGUGGAAGUUGGCCUUUUCUUGAUUUGCCAAUUGUUUGUUUAAGUGAUGGAGGUGAUUCUCUUGGUAAUAAGUUAUAAGGAACUUCCCAUCUUUGCUUAUCUGCAUCUGUUAUAUGAAUCCUCAAACGAUUAUCUGUCUCAUGCUUGACAUAGAGCUGCAAGUUAGGAAUAUCAGGGCCAUAAAUUUUGUUUUUCUUCUUAACUUUGAGGUAACCUAUGAGUCCACCAUCUGGUGACUCUUCAAUGGCUAUCAAACUAUAGCCAUUGCCAAUCUUAGUUGGAGCUGUGUGAACUAAUUUCACACAACCUAUUAUGCAUAUUGUUAAGACUAGCAAAAAAGGGAAAGAAAAGGAAAAUUUCAUGGUGUUUUAGCUAUUUUAAUAGCUAUGGAGAAAAGAAUGAAGAAGAAUGUAA